AUUGAACGCUGGCGGAAUGCUUUACACAUGCAAGUCGAACGGUAGAGGGGGCAACCCCUCGAGAGUGGCGAACGGGUGAGUAAUAUAUCGGAACGUGCCCAGUCGUGGGGGAUAACGUAGCGAAAGUUACGCUAAUACCGCAUACGAUCUAAGGAUGAAAGCGGGGGAUCGGAAGACCUCGCGCGAUUGGAGCGGCCGAUAUCAGAUUAGGUAGUUGGUGGGGUAAAGGCUCGCCAAGCCAACGAUCUGUAGCUGGUCUGAGAGGACGACCAGCCACACUGGAACUGAGACACGGUCCAGACUCCUACGGGAGGCAGCAGUGGGGAAUUUUGGACAAUGGACGCAAGUCUGAUCCAGCCAUUCCGCGUGCGGGAUGAAGGCCCUCGGGUUGUAAACUGCUUUUGUACGGAACGAAAAGGUCUCUCUUAAUACGGGGGACUCAUGACGGUACCGUAAGAAUAAGCACCGGCUAACUACGUGCCAGCCGCCGCGGUAAGAC
rnacentral:rRNA from 1 species